AUGUAAAGCAGACUCAAACCCAGGUUGUCACGGGCAACACAAGUCAGCUCCCAAAGUCGCAUCAAACUUGCUGCUCUGCCUGGUGUCGUCUGAAGGCAGCAGCCAGCUCCAGCAGGGACAGGGAAACAUCCUGAUCUCUCACUGCUGGUGCCGGUUGUUGGCUGAGAGCUCAGCGCCGUCUCGCAGCUGAUUCAGCUCCUUAAGAAGAGGGUAAUUUUCUUUAUCCUGUUUGCUUCCUCGCAGGCUGCCGCAGCACCUUAACCCAGCUGGACCCUCCAGAGACCACCAGAAGAAGCAGAUGGUCAAGACAUGAGAUCAGAGCUGGAGACAGAGAUGUCAAUCAAUAGGUUGGAGUAGCAGGCGCUGGGAUGUGGAAUGGAACAGGCAGCUACAGCAGCGCUAAGCAGGACAGGGUGCACUGUCCCAGAAGACAAGGCUGCCUGGAGGGAUGGAAGUCUGCAGGAGCAGAGGCAGAGCACCCGUCACCACCCUGCUAACUGGCCAGUGCCGAGGUAACACCACUAAGGCACAUCUCAGUGUACCCCUGCCCUGCUG